UGGGGAAUCUUGCACAGUGGGCGAAAGCCUGAUGCAGCAACACCGUGUGAGCGAGGAAGGCCUUCGGGUCGUAAAGCUCUGUUGUUGGGGACGAAGGGCGAAGGGUUAAUAGCCCCUAGCCUGACGGUACCCUUCGAGGAAGCCCCGGCUAACUACGUGCCAGCAGCCGCGGUAAUACGUAGGGGGCGAGCGUUGUCCGGAAUUAUUGGGCGUAAAGAGCGUGUAGGCGGCCCGGUAAGUCUGCUGUGAAAGCUUGGGGCCCAACCCCAAGCGUGGAGUGGAUACUGCUAGGCUAGAGGAUGGUAGAGGCGAGUGGAAUUCCCGGUGUAGCGGUGAAAUGCGCAGAUAUCGGGAGGAACACCAGUAGCGAAGGCGGCUCGCUGGGCCAUUCCUGACGCUGAGACGCGAAAGCAUGGGGAGCAAACAGGAUUAGAUACCCGCGUAGUCC
rnacentral:rRNA from 1 species